rnacentral:lncRNA from 1 species
AGCCUCUUAAUUUACUAAACCCAUGCAUUUAUCAUCCCCACCUAAGUUCGAUAAUAGUUUAGUGUCACAUAAGUAUACCAUCAAUUUAGGCCAUGUAAUCAUCUUACUAGUCGCUGCUUAGCUAUAUCUAAUGUUGAGUCAAUUGCUAUAAUAGCUCAGUUUGAAUCAGUUCUGUUAAUUUUGACAAUAAUUUAUAUUUGAUAGGAAGUUUAGAGGAUUCAUUAAUUUUUUAUUGGUUUUAUAUCUUCGGCAGAUAAUUUUGUGGUAUAAACCGUCAUUAGAUGGCAUUGAACCAUUGUCAAACUUAGGUGUGGUUGAUUUUCACCAAAUGAAACAUGAGAGAUGAAUGUCACACGUUUGCUAUACUUGACGGAUGAAAAAUACACCUUUUCCCCAAAAAACAGUUUCCUUUUUUAACAAAUUGGCAGGGGAGUCCCCUACCUGUUUCAUUUCCAAUGAAGUUACAAAGCUCACAGGCUCAAAGAGAAAAAAGGGGGGAGGAAUUAAAAGUUACAGAAUUACUCAUCAAAUUAUCCAAGGAAAGCUUCGCUGUCGUGUUCUUCUCUGAAAUCCAAUCUCCACUUAGCCAUAGACCUGUUGUGUUCUUCUCUGAAAUCCAAUCUCCACUUAGCCAUAGACCGAACACCAUUAUCAAAGAUAAUACUGUUGCGAUGAAACCAAAUGCACUAGCUAGCAAUGAUGAUAAUCUCCCUGAAAAUGGUUGUCCCAAAAUUAAGUCUGCCUGAAUGAUCAUAUCCAAAGGGGUAAUAAUUAGUUUUAAUGGUAAUAAAGUACUUCACCAGUCGCAUAACUCGCAAAAUGUACAAUCAAGACCCUAAACAUUGCUACAGUAUGAUACGAGUCAUGGGGUUGUGGACUUGUGGUGCUCUGAUUCAGCCUACAGCAUAGAGGAAGGGAGCUGCUACCUGCUGGCUUGCCUAUUAGGGGUUUCAUGGAGAAAGAACGAUGAGAGAGAAGAGGUAGUUUUGCUUGCUUCGAUGUGGUGUUCAAGGCACUGGAGGUGAGUAGGUAGAGCAACAAUGGCCGAAGCUUGCAGGAAAUGGUAGAGUCGGGCUGGUGGUUGCCACAAAGGUGCUUGCCCUUUUGUCAUUGCAGGCAUGUGCAUAGGACGAGUGCCUCUUCCUUCCUCCGUAACCCAUCUUGGAGAGGUAGUGGUCAAGCUCGACGGGUACCUUAGCAGUGUUGACACCAGCGGCUGCAGCAAGCGGCAAGCUGGUGACCGGCUGUGUAGGAGCUCACCUCCCAACUAGUAACUGGUCGUCGAGGCCACACAUGGCACUGAGACUUGGAAUUGGAUGCGUGCAUGGUCACUGAACAUGAGAGCAACCCAUACAGCAUUGGUAACAAGCCGAGCAUGAGAUGGGCCAGAGGAGAAGGGGAUGAAAGCACUAGUAGAGAACCGACUUUUGAUCCUCCCCCUCUUAAUCCGGUUUAAUCUAGGUCCGAGAGAAAAGGGGGUGCUCGGAGCUUUACUCCCGGUUAUUAUUUACAAGUGGAAAUAAAGGUCUCCUUUUAUCCCGGUUUGUAAAUUAGCUAGCCGUGGGGGAGAGGGACCUUUUAGUCCCGGUUGAAAAACUC